GCGGGAGUAGUUCAGCGGUAGAGCGUCGGCUUCCCAAGCCGAAAGUCGCGAGUUCGAAUCCCGUUUCCCGCUCCA
rnacentral:tRNA from 1 species